rnacentral:rRNA from 1 species
AUUGAACGCUGGCGGCAGGCCUAACACAUGCAAGUCGAGCGGAUGAAGGGAGCUUGCUCCUGGAUUCAGCGGCGGACGGGUGAGUAAUGCCUAGGAAUCUGCCUGGUAGUGGGGGAUAACGUCCGGAAACGGGCGCUAAUACCGCAUACGUCCUGAGGGAGAAAGUGGGGGAUCUUCGGACCUCACGCUAUCAGAUGAGCCUAGGUCGGAUUAGCUAGUUGGUGGGGUAAAGGCCUACCAAGGCGACGAUCCGUAACUGGUCUGAGAGGAUGAUCAGUCACACUGGAACUGAGACACGGUCCAGACUCCUACGGGAGGCAGUAGUGGGGAAUAUUGGACAAUGGGCGAAAGCCUGAUCCAGCCAUGCCGCGUGUGUGAAGAAGGUCUUCGGAUUGUAAAGCACUUUAAGUUGGGGGGAAGGGCAGUAAGUUAAUACCUUGCUGUUUUGACGUUACCAACAGAAUAAGCACCGGCUAACUUCGUG